UUUCUGGGUAUCUUUCUGUGAGAGACUGCUUGGGCCUGCAUAAGAUGGCUGCCCUCAACCUUAGCCUUUGCCUCGGUGGAAAAAUCCCACUAGACUACAUACGUGACCUUUGGCAGGUCUAGCCCCUGGGCAAACAGGAAAUCUUACAGAAAGAAUAGCCCUUUGUGCUAACCACAGGGUCACGGGAUCUGGAGCAGGAAGCAGACAUUCAAGAUCGGAUCGGCCUCUGAUGACCCACGAAUAAGAGGCGGCUCUCACCUCCUAUUCCCCGCGGGACGGGGUCCCCCCAGAGAGCCGCAACUGGCGCCCAACGUGGUUUACAGAGGUUACCGACUCCCGAUCGGACGGCAGAGAGACGACGAGUCCGGAGCCCGCCCGUCAGACACCAGGUAAGCCCCAUCCGGGUGGUGCAGGGUUGGGGUUAGUCAAAUCUUAGCUAAGGCACAGCCGCCGUCCCAAAGUUCCCCGAGAAUAGGGGGAACGCAGUUAGUGAAGGAGCUAAAUUUAUC
rnacentral:lncRNA from 1 species